UACACUCCUACGGGAGGCAGCAGUGGGGAAUAUUGGACAAUGGGCGCAAGCCUGAUCCAGCCAUGCCGCGUGAGUGAUGAAGGCCCUAGGGUUGUAAAGCUCUUUCACCGGUGAAGAUAAUGACGGUAACCGGAGAAGAAGCCCCGGCUAACUUCGUGCCAGCAGCCGCGGUAAUACGAAGGGGGCUAGCGUUGUUCGGAUUUACUGGGCGUAAAGCGCACGUAGGCGGACUAUUAAGUCAGGGGUGAAAUCCCGGGGCUCAACCCCGGAACUGCCUUUGAUACUGGUAGUCUUGAGUUCGAGAGAGGUGAGUGGAAUUCCGAGGGUAGAGGUGAAAUUCGUAGAUAUUCGGAGGAACACCAGUGGCGAAGGCGGCUCACUGGCUCGAUACUGACGCUGAGGUGCGAAAGCGUGGGGAGCAAACAGGAUUAGAAACCCGAGUAGUCCCA
rnacentral:rRNA from 1 species